GGAUAUCCAGUAGUUGUUCAUCCGUGGGUUCAAAGUCGAGUUGUGAAUGUGUUGGUUAUGUGAAGGUGUUAGGUUGUGUUUGUUGAAUUGAAGGUAGAAGUGACUUGAGAGAAUAGUAUUAAAUGUUUGGUGUUGGGAUAUGGGGUUUAAGUUAUCAAAGUUUGGUUGAGGAAUUAGAGUGUAUCGUAUGGGUGGACAUAAGUUGGUUUGUUGUUGAUAUUGUUGGUUGUAGUAGCAGUUUUGUUUGAGGGAAUGGAGUAUGGGGAUUUUGGUGUUGGGAUGAGGUGGCAUAAAGGUGCGUUAUUGUAUGGUCUGAGUGUGAUGGUAUGUUUGCUGGGCAGAUGAAGAUGG
rnacentral:lncRNA from 1 species